ensembl:lncRNA
UAAACAGCAGACUGGAGUCAAAUGCAGAGAAAUCAAUCUAAUAUUGGCAUGCUCCCUUCAAAAGUGCUCAGAUUUAAAGAACAUUAUGGGUCAACUGAAAAUUCAUCAAACGGAGAACAUUUCUCAAAGAAAAAAAAAGUCCAGAUGAGCAAUAUAUAG